UUAUAGAAAGGGCUCUGGUUGUGGGUAAAGCCAGGAAGAGCUCUCCAGCCCUCUGCACUGCGGCAGUGAGGAUAGAAGCCACCAGUGGCCUCACUCCCUUGGACUGAUUCCGUUGUGCAGUCUCAGAGCUUUGAGCUUUGGAGAGGCAGGCCUUCCUUCCGCCUCGGCCUCGGCUGUCCACUCAGAUACUUUUGAGUAUUGACUGUCACCUACAAGAUCAGUCUUAGGAAACCUCACGUGCCUGUGUUCAGUGGACCCUGGGGUAGGGCGAAGAAUGCUGUGAGGCCUUGGCUGGCCAGUAAAGUGAACAGACAGUAAGUGUGCGGGGGUGGCUGAACUUAGCAAAGGGCUAGAGCGAAGCAUGAUUAUGGCUUUAUUUUUACAAGAAGAAAGAUUACUAGAGUAUGUGUCUCCAAGAGUAAUGAUGGUUUCCAAAGAGUAUUUUUUAAAGGAACAAAAUAGGCGUGAAUUAACUCUGCGUAUAAGCUAUGACGUAAUAGUUGGUUGUGAAUUGCAGUCGCUGCACCAGUUAGCACCUCUCAUUUAGAGUCUUUGAGUGCUUCUAGAAGAGUCCCUUAUUUUCAAGGGUUCAUAAUGAACAACAACAACAACAAAUUUUCCCCUGGCUAAAGCUGCUAACUAUAAAAAUUGUCAGCUUAGGAAGAUAGAAAUCUUGUAUUUUGGCCUUUUGAGUAGUAUAGCGCAAGAAUGAAGUAGAAAAGUUUUAUUUAGUACUUUGAGUGCUCAAAAAAUGCAAUCAGUGUAUUAUAUAUGAUUCAUAGGUCAGUCAUUUGAGGCCAUCAACUCAAGGCUUUUAAUCAGAACCAAGCUGAAGAUUCACCCUUGAAUCUAGUCUGGGGAAACAACCACGGGAGGAUGCAUUGACUUUAGAACAGAGAGGAAACUCUAACUGAAAACUGCGCAGAUGGAUGGUCCGCAGCAGUGUGGGGAUUCACAGAUAAUAGGCAUGCUGAGUGCCCAUGAUUCUCCAGGAAACUCCAGAACAAAGGACCACAUCUUCUGUGGGCAGAGUAGCCUCAGUGUGGGGAGGGGGAGGGCAGGUGGGCAUGGGCUGGUGAGAGGUAGCAGAGCCCUGUUACUGUUAGAAAAGCUUUUAUGAACUUAAUUUCUCUUCCUUAAAGACUUCGCUCUCAUCUUGCUCCCAGUAAAGUUUUUCCUAACUUUCCAGCUGCUUAACCUCCCUCACAAAGUGAAAUGUGUCACCUUCCUUCUCCCUCAGCAUGGUGUGCCUGGUUAUACCUCAAUGUCCAGCAGCCCUGGUGCCUGACAGUGCCUCUGACUUUAUCAAACCCUCCGUGCUGACUGUGGGAGACCCGAGCACCUUUUCUCUCACUGAAUUUGAAUCACAGCCUCAACGUAGUCUUCUUGUUGUGUCCAACAGUGUUUAAUGCUUCCUGGCUGUAGUGGGUAGCAUGCAGAUAAGAAUUUAACUGGUUAUUCUUGAAUUUCUUUUACAAUAAACCAAUUUUUAUAAUCUUAAAAUGUAUCAACU
rnacentral:lncRNA from 1 species